UAAGGAAUAUUGGUCAAUGGACGCAAGUCUGAACCAGCCAUGCCGCGUGAAGGAUGAAGGCCCUCUGGGUUGUAAACUUCUUUUAUAGGGGACGAAAAAAGGGCAUUCUUGCUCACUUGACGGUACCCUAGGAAUAAGCACCGGCUAACUCCGUGCCAGCAGCCGCGGUAAUACGGAGGGUGCAAGCGUUAUCCGGAUUUACUGGGUUUAAAGGGUGCGUAGGUGGGCCUGUAAGUCAGUGGUGAAAUCUUCAAGCUUAACUUGGAAACUGCCAUUGAUACUAUAGGUCUUGAAUUAUCUGGAGGUAAGCGGAAUAUGUCAUGUAGCGGUGAAAUGCUUAGAGAUGACAUAGAACACCCAUUGCGAAGGCAGCUUACUACGGAUUGAUUGACACUGAGGCACGAAAGCGUGGGGAUCAAACAGGAUUAGAUACCCCCGUAGUCC
rnacentral:rRNA from 1 species